AACGAACGCUGGCUGCAUGCCUAACACAUGCAAGUCUAACGAGACCUUCGGGUCUAGUGGCGCACGGGUGCGUAACGCGUGGGAACCUGCCCUUAGGUUCGGAAUAACUCCCCGAAAGGGGUGCUAAUACCGGAUAAUGUCUUCGGACCAAAGAUUUAUCGCCUUUGGAUGGGCCCGCGUUGGAUUAGCUAGUUGGUAGGGUAAAAGCCUACCAAGGCGACGAUCCAUAGCUGGUCUGAGAGGAUGAGCAGCCACACUGGGACUGAGACACGGCCCAGACUCAUACGGGAGGGAGAAGUGGGAAAGAUUGGAAAAGGGGCGAAAGGCGGAUCCAGAAAGGCAGCGUGAGUGAUGAAGGCCUUAGGGUUGUAAAGCUAUGUUACCGGGGAUAAUAAUAAAAGUACCGGGAGAAUAAGCAACGGCUAAAUCCGUG
rnacentral:rRNA from 1 species